GGGGUCUUAGCUCAGCUGGGAGAGCAUCUGCCUUACAAGCAGAGGGUCAUAGGUUCGAGCCCUAUUGGUC
rnacentral:tRNA from 1 species